rnacentral:rRNA from 1 species
UGACCAAAGAUUUAUCGGUGUAAGAUGGACUUGCGUCUGAUUAGCUAGUUGGUGAGAUAAAAGCCCACCAAGGCGACGAUCAGUAGCCGGCUUGAGAGAGUGUACGGCCACAUUGGGACUGAGACACGGCCCAAACUCCUACGGGAGGCAGCAGUGGGGAAUUUUGCACAAUGGGGGAAACCCUGAUGCAGCGACGCCGCGUGAUUUAGAAGGCCUUCGGGUUGUAAAAAUCUUUUUUAUGGGAUGAAAAUGACAGUACCAUAAGAAUAAGGUCCGGCUAAAUACGUGCCAGCAGCCGCGGUAAUACGUAUGGACCGAGCGUUGUCCGGAAUCAUUGGGCGUAAAGGGUACGUAGGCGGCCUAGUAAGUUAGAAGUGAAAUAAUAUAGCUCAACUAUAUAAAGCUUUUAAAACUGUUAGGCUUGAGAGAUGAAAGGGAAAGUGGAAUUCCUAGUGUAGCGGUGAAAUGCGCAGAUAUUAGGAAGAAUACCGGUGGCGAAGGCGACUUUCUGGUCAUCAUCUGACGCUGAGGUACGAAAGCGUGGGUAGCAAACAGGAUUAGAUACCCUGGUAGUCCACGCUGUAAACGAUGAGUGUUAGGUUCUUGGAAUAAUCUGGGAGCCGCAGCUAACGCAUUAAACACUCCGCCUGGGGAGUACGCACGCAAGUGCUGUAUUACAGGUGGUGCAUGGUUGUCGUCAGCUCGUGUCGUGAGAUGUUGGGUUAAGUCCCAUAACGAGCGCAACCCCUAUCGUUAGUUACCAUCAUUAAGUUGGGGACUCUAGCGAUACUGCCGGUGAUAAACCGGAGGAAGGUGGGGACGACGUCAAAUCAUCAUGCCCUUUAUGACUUGGGCUACACACGUGCUACAAUGGCAGAUACAGAGGGCAGCGAAAGAGCGAUCUGAAGCGAAACUCACAAAGUCUGUCCCAGUUCGGAUUGUACUCUGCAACUCGAGUACAUGAAGUUGGAGUUGCUAGUAAUCGCGAAUCAGAAUGUCGCGGUGAAUGCGUUCCCGGGUCUUGUACACACCGCCCGUCACACCAUGGGAGUUGGCAAUACCCGAAGCCUGUGAGCGAACCUUUAUGGACGCAGCAGUCGAAGGUAGGGUCAGUAACUGGGGUGAAGUCGUAACAAGGUAGCCGUAUCGGAAGGUGCGGCUGGAUCACCUCCUUU